rnacentral:lncRNA from 1 species
UGAGGUGGAGAGUUCAAAAUGUAUAACCAGUAACCAUUGAAAGUUAAUUCUUCCUUGAACAGGUAAGAAGCCUUCAGAAGCAAGCCAUGAGACAUUCGCCUCCUCCCUCCCUUUCUUCCUUCCACAAGCAUUUAACCAGCUGAGUAGGUGAGUAGGUGUUGGGCUAGCAGCUACUGACAGCCCAGCAGUGAAUGAAGCGUAGCCUUGUUCCCAGAGGACCUCAGAAGGAAAGGUGGACGGAGGAUACCAAUGUCAGACAACACAAAAAGAAUGAGUCAAAAAAGAGGCAGUGGAGUCCAGAAGAGAGGAGAGAAGAAACACAGGGACCUGUGAGUCAGCCAAGCUGUCCCUGAAGAAGUAGGAUCUGUUCCAAGAACAGAAGGAACUCAUGGGCAUCUGUGGUCAUGUUCACUCAUCAGGGACAGAGCACCUGGCAAAGCUGGCCCAUGAUGCAGCGCUCCUCUCCUCUCCCCAUAAUGGAUGGGUGGCGGUGCAGUGCAUGCUCCCCGUGGAAGCACGGACCCAGCGGGCCUUUCUCAGGUAACAGAGCGGGCCAACACUUCAAAAUCACAGAGCCAGACAUGAAUCCAU